rnacentral:lncRNA from 1 species
GCUAAAAACAGCACCGUGUGCUUAGCGGCGCUCCGGCCACACCAGCAUUGAUCUGUGGUCGGUCAGACUUUUAAGCUUUUAAAACACGUUUACACCAACGAUUGAACUUAAAACACUGGUGCUGAAACUGGGAGGUCCACCGAUAAUGUGAGGAGGCCAGAUAAGUUAACAUAUUCAAAUUUAGUCAUAUGCUGUUGAGGAAGUUGGGAAUCUCGUGGCACUGAUGGUUGACUUCACCGAAACUAAACAGACUUGAAAAAUUGUAUAUACAUAUAUAAAAUCAACGAAAUUUAGUAGUAUAUGCGAAAUGUCAGCAAUCGGAAGUCAUCAGGCAAGAGCCAUAACCGCCAUUGGUUAUGUUCCCUCUUCUCUUUCACUUCGAUUUACGUCCCACAUGAGUGCAAUCGCUGUGGUAAAUACAGAUACAGCAAAAUGAUGAACGCUUGAAGUAGCUGGAGAGGUCUCGCGAGCGGAUGGGUUCACAACGCGACGCCUGAUAUAUACAUAAAUUGCAACUCUCAAUGCCUUCUCAACGAAUUUCAUUGCCCAGGCGGAUGUGGGGCUACGUGCUUGCUCUUGAUGGUGUUCAACGGUUGCUGUGCACAAGUUGCCGCAAAAUAAACACCCUGCCCUCGACGACCCUCUUCCGCCAUAAGCUCUUCAAAGCCACUAAAUUCUCACAUUUUUGUGCGUUUUUGAGAGUAUCAAUGUGUAUUCGAACCCCGUGCAUUCGUAUUUUAUAUGCAUUUCGCUAAACUAGCGAUAUACUACUCAUUGAGAUGGCAAGCUUGGCUACAUAUGUACAUAAAUACGUAUCACUUACGUAAGGUGAAAGAUAGCGAUACAAUGUGCGAUAUGUUUGAAAGAGUUAACACGAUUUUGCGAACGAAAACAAGUAAUUGGUAAACAUAAAUACACCUAAAAUGUAUCUGUUAGAUGGGGAAAACGCGGUCGUUGCAAAUUCAGUGCUUAAUUAAACCAAAAAAUUGUGAGUUGGUGGAGUAAAUGUUUAAGAAAAUUCAAGUCGGCCGCAGAGAUUUACCAACUCACAUGCAUAUAUGUGUGUCAUCUGAAUUGCAAACAAAGACAUUGGAUGCAUUAUGUGCAAUAUUUUAUAAUCUUGUAAUUCUUGAUAAAUUGUAUAGUGUCUUGUGGAAGGAUUUUCCAGUAAAACCAAAAUCAUCAACAAAAUAACACCUGACACGAGCACCUCAACGAACUGCCAUUCGUAUUGAAAUGCCCUCCUAUGUAAAGAGCAACAAACUCUCUAAUAAAGCAAGCCAAAAAAAAAAAAACACUCUUGAUAUUUCAUCAAAAAGUGCAACACAUUGAAAACGUUAACAAAGUAAAGGGAAAAUUGCUGUGAGCAUGUAGACCAUGCAUAAUGGAAUUAGAAGAAAAAAUGCAGUGUAGUCCGCGUGGAUAUUGGAGAAUAAAUUAGCAAAAAACGGACCUGCCCCGAAAUGAGUAGAUACCAAAGAAUCGCGAAACUUACAAAAUCCUGGUUUUUGGCACUAUUUGCAAUCUAUGUACAUACAUAUAUGGUAUGACUGAAUCAACUAACGCCAAAGAAUAUGCUUUAAAUAAGUGCAAGUGUAAAAAAUUAGAAGAUUCCCUUAAACGCGAAAUGUCUGAAAAUCCUCGAAACUUUUCCAGCCUAGAAAAAUAACUGUCGAAAUUAUAUGAGGCGCUUUUCGCGUGCCCCGAAAACUUUCGAGGUAAAUUAGUAGGGAUCGAAAGUUAUAUGUAGUUAUUUUUGUAAUUGCAGUUCAAAAAGGUUGUCGAAAAGAUUUUGCGUAUUUAAUAUUUGUAUACAUAUAUAUAACAAUGUGAAGCUUGAUAGCCAAAGAAUAUUCGGACUUUUUUCAAAAAAGUCAGCAAUUAACAGUUAUUUUAUGAUCGAUAUUUCUUCAAUCAAAAAUUGCAGUUAAAAUUAUACUUCCAUUUUUUUUUGGUCAAAUAUGAAAGCUCAAAUUUUAC